rnacentral:rRNA from 1 species
CUCUCAGCAACGGAUAUCUCGGCUCUCACAACGAUGAAGAACGCAGCGAAAUGCGAUACGUGAUGUGAAUUGCAGAAUUCCGCGAAUCAUCGAAUCUUUGAACGCAAUUUGUGCCCGCGGCCUCCGUGCCAAAGGCGUGCCUGCUUGAGCGUCG